rnacentral:rRNA from 1 species
GAGUUUGAUCAUGGCUCAGAUUGAACGCUGGCGGCAGGCCUAACACAUGCAAGUCGAGCGGAUGAAGGGAGCUUGCUCCUGGAUUCAGCGGCGGACGGGUGAGUAAUGCCUAGGAAUCUGCCUGGUAGUGGGGGAUAACGUCCGGAAACGAGCGCUAAUACCGCAUACGUCCUGAGGGAGAAAGUGGGGGAUCUUCGGACCUCACGCUAUCAGAUGAGCCUAGGUCGGAUUAGCUAGUUGGUGGGUAAAGGCCUACCAAGGCGACGAUCCGUAACUGGUCUGAGAGGAUGAUCAGUCACACUGGAACUGGAGACACGGUCCAGACUCCUACGGGAGGCAGCAGUGGG